rnacentral:tRNA from 2 species
GUAGGUAUGGUGUUAGUGGUUAGCACAUGACAUUGCCAAUGUCAAGGGGACAGUUCAAAUCUGUUUAUCUACU